CUGCAGCCCGAGUAGUGACCGUUAUUAUUGGGCCUAAAACGUCCGUAGCCUGUUUGGUAAAUGCUUGGGUAAAUCGUGUAGCUUAACUAUACGAAUACCGGGUAGACUGCCAGACUUGAGACCGGGAGAGGUUGGAGGUACUCCUGGGGUAGAGGUGAAAUUCUGUAAUCCUGGGGGGACCACCAGUGGCGAAGGCGUCCAACCAGAACGGGUCUGACGGUGAGGGACGAAGCCCUGGGGCGCAAACCGGAUUAGAUACCCGAGUAGUCC
rnacentral:rRNA from 1 species